AGGAAACUCUGGUGGAGGCCCGUAGCGAUUCUGACGUGCAAAUCGAUCGUCAAAUUUGGGUAUAGGGGCGAAAGACUAAUCGAACCAUCUAGUAGCUGGUUCCCUCCGAAGUUUCCCUCAGGAUAGCUGUAGCCCUAAGCAGUUUUAUCAGGUAAAGCGAAUGAUUAGAGGUAUCGGGGAAGAAACUUCCUCGACCUAUUCUCAAACUUUAAAUAGGUAAGAAGUCCGACUUGCUCAAUUUGAAGCCGGACACAGAAUGCUGGGUUACUAGUGGGCCAUUUUUGGUAAGCAGAACUGGCGAUGCGGGAUGAACCGAACGCCGAGUUAAGGUGCCAAAGUCGACGCUCAUCAGAUCCCACAAAAGGUGUUGGUUGAUAUAGACAGCAGGACGGUGGCCAUGGAAGUCGGAAUCCGCUAAGGAGUGUGUAACAACUCACCUGCCGAAUCAACUAGCCCUGAAAAUGGAUGGCGCUUAAGCGUCGCACCUAUACUCGGCCCGUCGAGGCAAGAGCGAGGCCCCGACGAGUAGGAGGGCGCGGUGGUGGUGAUGCAGCCUUUGGCGUGAGCCUGGGUCAAACCGCCACUGGUGCAGAUCCUGGUGGUAGUAGCAAAUAUUCAAAUGAGAGCUUUGAAGACUGAAGUGGGGAAAGGUUCCAUGUGAACAGCAGUUGGACAUGGGUUAGUCGGUCCUAAGAGAUAGGGUAACUCCGUUUGAAAAGCGUGCAGUCCUUGCGGUGUGCACCAACCUGUCGAAAGGGAAUCGGGUCAAUAUUCCCGAACCGGAACACGGAUGUGGUGCCCCCGGCACCAAAGCGGCAACGCAAACGAACUCGGAGACGCCGGCGGGAGCCCCGGGAAGAGUUCUCUUUUCUUCUUAACAUGCUGUCACCCUGAAAUCGGUUUGCCCGGAGAUAGGGUCACAUGCCUGGUAAAGCGCCACACCUCUUGUGGCGUCCGGUGCACUCUCGACGGCCCGUGAAAAUCCGAGGGAGCA
rnacentral:rRNA from 1 species